CUUUCUUCUUCGAACCGAUAGAGGAGAUGGAGAUGAAGAAAGAGCAGAGAAGUUAGGGUUUGUGUUGAAAUUGAAGAAUCAUAGUAUGGGUUUCUAUCUCAGAGAAAGAAAGGUGUUGGUUAUGAAACCUUGAGUUGGUCAAUUCCAGUUGGGAUUUGAGAAUAAUCGAAAAGGGGAUUUUGGGUGUUCUUGUUUUGAGAUUGAAGCUUCCAGUGUGUAGAUUGCCGACAGCUUGGGAGACCUUUGCUCAAAAAAAAGGGUAUUAAGAACCGCAAGAAAGACAAGGUUGUCUAUGAUGAACAGACUCAUUCAUGGAAGCGUCGCCAUUGUUAUGAUCGUGUGAAUGAUGAUAAAGAUGUUCCCAUUAUCGAUUCCAAGAUGGCUGAUGAUUGGUCAAACAUUUCGGUAUAAUGUCAAUUCACCGUUGGAACCAAAACUAAAAAGCUGGUUAUGAUAUUGUCCCUUGAGCUCAGUUCAGAACCAAGAUAGAGAGUAAGAAGUGAGAAAUUACUUCAAUGCUUGUGAAGCUUCUGCAUCGAGAUGGUUCAUCCAACCAAUUCCCCUUGUUUUGUCGCUAUAUUCCCUUUCUUGCGGGUACUGGAAUAUCAUUUCAUUUUUCUUUUAAUUUAAGUCCUACUAUGGUUAUACACACUUGUUAUACUGAUCUGAUAGGAUUACUAACUUGUUUCCUGCUAGCUACUGUAAUAUGUAUUACUUAGUAGUGAAAUAAGAUUAUUAUUAUUUUAUUUUCACCGUAAUCCAGAAGCAUUCUAUCAUAGAUUACCGGCAGAAUCUCUAGCAUGUGAAUGGGAAGUUGUUCAGGGUCCUAAUGAAGCAUGUUGGAUUAUAGAAGUGAGCAAAACUCAAAUGACACCUACUUUGAGGAAGGCUGGGAAAUAUUUGUGCGAGACACUGGCUUAAGAAAAUAUGAUUUCUUAGUUUUUAGGCUUGAUGGUGGGAUGCGGUUUCAUGUUAAGGUUUUCCACUCAUCAUCAUGCCUAAAAACUAGGAAAUAAUACUUUCUAAGAAGGUAGGGAAGAUAAAUUGGAUGUCUAGCAACAAAAUGAAGAAUGUCUCAGUUGGGAGGUUCUUGUCAGACCAUUAAGUGUAUCAAUACAUGUUCUGUGCAGGCUGGAAAGACUUUGCCAUCAGCUAUAAGCUGAUAAUUGGUGACUGUGUGAUAUUCGAACUUGUUGAUUCCAGUUCCUGUUCCUUCUCUAGUUCCGCGCAAGAAAAUAAUGGAGCACAAGAAGAAUAUCUCGCUAGUUUACCUUCUUCGUCGCUUGCACAAGAAAUAAAGAAACGUGGAAGGCUAUGUGAAAUUUCAACGGUAAAAAAGGGAGGCUCACGGAAGCAGGAUUGUGCAUGGAGUUGUUCAAAAAACAGUAUUUUAAGGAUACAUGUGAUUAGUGAAGAGUGCAGUGCACAGUUUUUCCGUGAUUUUGAGCAGUAUUAGAGAGACAGUAUGAGAUCUGUCUUAGUCAAUUGAGCUGUGAACUGAUGGUGAAGGCUGUAAUUGAUACUGCUAAAAUGGAGAUGGAUUGUGGCUGGUGACUGACAUGUUGCAGUUGUAGUUUGGUGCCUGAGAUAGAAGUGGUGUUACAGAUGCUCAUGGUAGUGAUGCUGUGUUGGCUCAAGAAUGGUUAUAUGAAUGCCUAGGUUUCAAAUACAAAUUGCAGGUGUCGGAAGGUUGGUGGUUAUGAGCUAUUGAAUGCAAUGAGAUGGAACAUGGUGCGCUGAGAGCUUCAGAGAAUGGAAGAUGAAUUGCAUUUGAACUGGUGUUGUGGUAUUUUGAGUUAGGAUUAGAAGGCAGAUUGCAAGGAGUACAGCUGGUAUUGAAGCUGCAAUUGGAGAUUGAAUUGUGGAGUUUGAACUGAGAGGGUUGCUGCUGGUAUGAGUGAGCUGUAGCUGAAGUAACAACAGUUAGAAGAAUGUGGCAUUGCUGAAAUGAAAACCUAAUGUAGAUGAAUGUUUAGGACAGGAAUGAGUUGAUGGAUGACUGCAAUGAGCAGUUGAUGGUGGUACUGAAGUGAUGAGCAUUUGGAACUGAAAUGGUUGGCUUGAAUAAGCUGUUGUUGUCCAGGUGAAAUGGAUGGUGAUAAUGUUGCAGUUAUGGACUGGUUCUAGCAGGGAUCUGAGGCUGUUGAAGGCAAGGAAAUGAUUAUGCAACAGAGAAGAGUAAGAAAUGGCAGCAGUUUUGUGUUGGUGGUUCUGGUGGUGAGUUGAGAUGAGCUCAUUCUUGAGCUGAAGCUACAGGUGUGGAUUGAAAUAACAGGAUGAGGUGUUGCUGGUGAUGUGAACUAUGGCAGAGAUGAAUGAAUGCUCGAUAGUUUAGAUAAAUGCAAGGUGCGCAAGAAGCAGCUGAGGCUGGCAAUGGAGAUAAGAUGAACUUGCUAUUUUGUGGAACUGCAGGUGGUAAUUGUAGUAGAAAAGGAGUUAUGGCUGGUACUAGUGAAUUGAUGUUGCUUUGAAUGGACAGAGAAGGAAGUGGCGGUGGUUCCAGAUGGUUGUGAAUAUUGCAGGAAGGUAUUGAGUAAAUGGCUUGAGCAGAACCUGUUAAUGCCUGAAAUUGCACCGUCAGUCCUAUUGAACUGACAGUUGAAACGAUUCAACUCACUGACUCGGUGAAGUGAUCCAGUUAACGGUAACGUCAGCAUUGGCCGUUAAUUUUGACGCUUGACCAUUAGGUCUGAUAGGUGGCCGGUUUGAAUUUGCCGGUCACCUGAGCUACUUUCCGUGUGACUUCGCCAGUCGAUUUCUGUCCAUUUCCCGGUCAACUUUUGGACUUCCGGAAAGACUCUUCAGCAGAAUUUUUGGUAUCGGUUUUUCUUCUUAUUGAAGUCUCUGUUUGCACAUCUUUGUACGAAUUUGCACGUGUUGUAUUUAGUACUCCAGGAAUGUUUGGAGGAGGACAACUACAUCAUCUCUUUAAUGGUUGAAUGUUUGGAGAAGGACAACUAAAUAAUCUCUUCUAGUGGUAGCAAUUUUCUUGGAUCUGUACGGGUUUGGGAAGAUUAGCGUUUGCCGACGUACAACGCACGUGUAGUCCACUUGUCGACUUAAUUCAAUUUGUUUUA